rnacentral:rRNA from 1 species
AGCUGCCUACGGGACGCAGCAGUGGGGAAUAUUGCACAAUGGGGGAAACCCUGAUGCAGCGACGCCGCGUGAAGGAAGAAGUAUUUCGGUAUGUAAACUUCUAUCAGCAGGGAAGAAAAUGACGGUACCUGAGUAAGAAGCUCCGGCUAAAUACGUGCCAGCAGCCGCGGUAAUACGUACGGAGCAAGCGUUAUCCGGAUUUACUGGGCGUAAAGGGAGCGUAGGCGGCCUGCCAAGUCUGAUGUGAAAUACCGGGGCUCAACCCCGGGGCUGCAUUGGAAACUGGCAGGCUGG